UACGUAGGGUGCAAGCGUUGUCCGGAAUUAUUGGGCGUAAAGAGCUCGUAGGCGGUGUGUCGCGUCGGCCGUGAAAACCUGCAGCUCAACUGUGGGCUUGCAGCUGAUACGGGCAGGCUUGAGUUCGGUAGGGGAGACUGGAAUUCCUGGUGUAGCGGUGAAAUGCGCAGAUAUCAGGAGGAACACCGGUGGCGAAGGCGGGUCUCUGGGCCGAUACUGACGCUGAGGAGCGAAAGCGUGGGGAGCGAACAGG
rnacentral:rRNA from 1 species